CCUACGGGAGGCAGCAGUGAGGAAUAUUGGUCAAUGGACGAGAGUCUGAACCAGCCAAGUAGCGUGAAGGAUGACUGCCCUAUGGGUUGUAAACUUCUUUUAUAUGGGAAUAAAAUGUUCCACGUGUGGGAUUUUGUAUGUACCAUAUGAAUAAGGCUCGGCGAACUCCGUGCCAGCAGCCGCGGUAAUACGGAGGAUUCGAGCGUUAUCCGGAUUUAUUGGGUUUAAAGGGAGCGUAGGUGGAUUGUUAAGUCAGUUGUGAAAGUUUGGGGCUCAACCGCAAAAUUGCAGUUGAAACUGGCAGUCUUGAGUACAGUAGAGGUGGGCGGAAUUCGUGGUGUAGCGGUGAAAUGCUUAGAUAUCACGAAGAACUCCGAUUGCGAAGGCAGUUCACUGGACUGUAACUGACACUGAGGCUCGAAAGUGUGGGUAGCAAACAGGAUUAGAUACCCGUGUAGUC
rnacentral:rRNA from 1 species